rnacentral:rRNA from 1 species
AGAGUUUGAUUCUGGCUCAGGAUGAACGCUGGCGGCGCGCCUAACACAUGCAAGUCGAACGGCACCCCUCUCCGGAGGGAAGCGAGUGGCGAACGGCUGAGUAACACGUGGAGAACCUGCCCCCUCCCCCGGGAUAGCCGCCCGAAAGGACGGGUAAUACCGGAUACCCCGGGGCGCCGCAUGGCACCCCGGCUAAAGCCCCGACGGGAGGGGAUGGCUCCGCGGCCCAUCACGUAGACGGCGGGGUGACGGCCCACCGUGCCGCCAACGGGUAGCCGGGUUGAGAGACCGACCGGCCAGAUUGGGACUGAGACACGGCCCAGACUCCUACGGGAGGCAGCAGUGGGGAAUCUUGCGCAAUGGGGGGAACCCUGACGCAGCGACGCCGCGUGCGGGACGGAGGCCUUCGGGUCGUAAACCGCUUUCAGCAGGGAAGAGUCAAGACUGUACCUGCAGAAGAAGCCCCGGCUAACUACGUGCCAGCAGCCGCGGUAAUACGUAGGGGGCGAGCGUUAUCCGGAUUCAUUGGGCGUAAAGCGCGCGUAGGCGGCCCGGCAGGCCGGGGGUCGAAGCGGGGGGCUCAACCCCCCGAAGCCCCCGGAACCUCCGCGGCUUGGGUCCGGUAGGGGAGGGUGGAACACCCGGUGUAGCGGUGGAAUGCGCAGAUAUCGGGUGGAACACCGGUGGCGAAGGCGGCCCUCUGGGCCGAGACCGACGCUGAGGCGCGAAAGCUGGGGGAGCGAACAGGAUUAGAUACCCUGGUAGUCCCAGCCGUAAACG